CAGACGAUGCGUCAUGCAUAUCAAUAAGCGGAGGAAAAGAAACUAACAAGGAUUCCCUUAGUAACGGCGAGUGAAGCGGGAAGAGCUCAAAUUUGAAAUCUUGCAAGGUUUACCUUUCACGAAUUGUAGUUUAAAGAAGUGUUUUCUGCUUACGAUUUGGUAAUAAGUUCUUUGGAAUAGGACAUCAUAGAGGGUGAGAAUCCCGUAUUUGACCAUUAUUUUCAGCUUUGUGAUACACUUUCAAAGAGUCGGAUUGUUUGGGAAUGCAGUCCAAAAUGGGCGGUAAAUUUCAUCUAAAGCUAAAUAUUGGCGAGAGACCGAUAGCGAACAAGUACCGUGAGGGAAAGAUGAAAAGAACUUUGAAAAGAGAGUUAAAUAGUACGUGAAAUUGUCAAAAGGGAAGCGUUUAACACCAGUGUUGUUUUCUGAAAAUCAACCUCUGUUAGCUUUAUGCAUGUUUGUUUAGACCUAAUCAGCUAUCUUGCAUGUUCUAUUGUUUGCAGUGGUGCACUUUUCAGUUUACAGGUCAACAUCAGUUUUUUUUACCGUAAAAAAGUUAAAGAAAGGUAGCCCAUGGCUCCGGUCGUGAGUGUUAUAGUCUUUUUCCUAUGCGGUAGGAGAGACUGAGGUCUGCAGUGUAGGCUAUUUGGCUAGAUACUCAGGUGCUAUGUGAUACCAUUUCAUAAACAACUUGUUGAUUAUGUUUUGUCUAUUGCAUACUCGCUUGUACUAUCAUACCUACGCUUAGGAUGUUGAAGACUCUACAGAGAUA
rnacentral:rRNA from 1 species